GCCCGGAUGGUGAAAUUGGUAGACACAGGAGACUUAAAAUCUCCCGCCUAUUGCUGGCGUGCCGGUUCGAUUCCGGCUCCGGGCACCA
rnacentral:tRNA from 1 species